rnacentral:rRNA from 1 species
GAUGAACGCUGGCGGCGUGCCUAAUACAUGCAAGUCGAGCGAACAGACGAGGAGCUUGCUCCUCUGACGUUAGCGGCGGACGGGUGAGUAACACGUGGAUAACCUACCUAUAAGACUGGGAUAACUUCGGGAAACCGGAGCUAAUACCGGAUAAUAUAUUGAACCGCAUGGUUCAAUAGUGAAAGACGGUUUUGCUGUCACUUAUAGAUGGAUCCGCGCCGCAUUAGCUAGUUGGUAAGGUAACGGCUUACCAAGGCAACGAUGCGUAGCCGACCUGAGAGGGUGAUCGGCCACACUGGAACUGAGACACGGUCCAGACUCCUACGAGAGGCAGCAGUAGGGAAUCUUCCGCAAUGGGCGAAAGCAUGACGGAGCAACGGCGCGUGAGUGAUGAAGGUCUUCGGAUCGUAAAACUCUGUUAUUAGGGAAGAACAAAUGUGUAAGUAACUAUGCACGUCUUGACGGUACCUAAUCAGAAAGCCACGGCUAACUACGUG